GCCUCAGUAGCUUAGCUAGUUAAAGCACGAGUUUCGUAAACUCGAGAUCACCGGUGCAAAUCCGGUCUGAGGCU
rnacentral:tRNA from 1 species